GUCAGUGUGUGGUUCCCGGAGAGGACUCAGCCUGAGGAGGUCACUCGUUCACAGCCGCUCCUCCCAUUCUAUCUCUCCCCUUAUUGCAGAACUGCUGUAUGUAUACAGUAGCAGAAAGGACUCAAUUGACUUCAACUGCUGCCUGGUUUUGCUUACAACUUUUUCUUAUAAAGGAACUUACCUCCAUCUGUCUCUUGAAGGUGGCUGGCUACUUCCUCUAAACUCCACAACUCAUUCGAAAGACUAUGGAGCCUACAUAGUUUCUAAAGACAAACGAUGAAUUUCAAAGUAAGUCCCAGGAUGGUUUUAGCUAUGGUAUGAAUUCAAUCAUUGUGUACGAGUGUAGUACUUUGCCUGUGGGUGAUUUUCUAAGUUAUAGCGUUCAAUGAGCCUUUAUUUCAGGGUAAAAUUGUGUUCCUGGGUAGAGAUGAGAACGUGAGUCAGUGCAUGUGUGGCUUCUUGUUAUCUGCUCUGUUGCCGCCAGCUGGCUGCCUACCUGUCUCUGUGUUGGACAAAAGAAUUCUUGGGAUGGGAGAGCACUCCUGCUUUGGAAUGUGAGUAGACAUCACAAAUCACAGUUAAGGAGAGAUGAAUUAGAACUGCAUGCAGCAAGACGCCACUGGAAUGCAUUUCUUUGUAAAGGGACAAAGGGCCCCAGCUGGGCUUCUUUUGCCAAGGAUGCUGGUUGAUGAAGGACAGACUGAAGGCUUUUAUAGAGGAUGCUGGUUGAUAAAGUGAGGGGCAGUGAAGUCCUUUAUAAUAGAAAGCUUCGCGUGUCUAACCCACUCUUCAUGACUGCCCAUCGCUUUCCUGGUUAAGAGUAAUAAUUCCUAGAAGCUACCACUCUCCCAGACAGUGGUCAGCUCUACCUAUAACAACUAAAGGCCUAGGCUUUUGCACCAACCUGAAUCUAAAUGUGUAUUAUUUUAAUAACCCAAAUGGUAUUUCUGCUGUUAUCUAUGGUGCUUCUACGUAAAUGACUACAGGAUUCAGAUUUCUCCUCCACAAAGUGAGAGAAAUAACAGUAGACAUUCCAACAAGCUGUGAACAUGUGUAACCAAGCCAGUAGAUUGGGAACACUUGGAAUAUUGCGGCAUAGCAAGCAUGACAUUAAUUGAUUAACUACAGUUAAUCCUCCUGUUGUAUCAUCUCUGUUUGUCCUAGUCCCUCAACUCCUAUAGGCUUCAAUCUUGGUGGUUUUCAGUAUUACUAUUAUCAAUAGUUAUGGGUUUCAUGAUUAAUAGAAAGCAUUUUAGUAGUGGUAUUGGUACCAGGAUGCAAUCCAGUGUCUCCCACAGGCGAAACUCUCCCUAACCAUGUGGGAAUUAUUAAAGAAAACUGAACUCCCAAAUCCCUUUCUCUUUAAAGGAGUUACAACAUGUAUUCCUGGGAAUUCAAGGAAGGAAUAUCAUUGCCAUUCCAUUGCUGGUGAAUGUGUGCUGGCGAGCCCUAAGGUGACAGGAGAGAUCUUGGGAUCUGAAACUGGGGUUCGUUCCUGCCAGCACAUGGUGCAGUGGGAGAAGCAAUUGGAAGGCUUUGCCAUCUUGGAAAUAUGCAAACAUGCAUUGGCAUAGCCUUUCAGGAGGAUGAAUGAAAAGGAGACUGCAAAACAAAAGGGCUUUCAAGGGAGCACAAGCAGUGCCUCCGAAUCACAGCAAUGAUUAUGACCACCAUUAGCGUUUAAUGAGCCUAUGGACAGCUAAUGGCUUCAUCUCUCCAGUGGGCCUGCCAAUUGCCCGUGUUUCUAUGCACAUUCCUCCUUCUCUCCUAAGGAGCAAAAUCGUGGUGCUGUUAGGCCAAACAAGUCCAAGUCAUUGCUUGAGACCACCAUACUGCUUCUUCUUGGGACUGAAGGUUCAGAAAAAAAAAAAGAAUUCUGGGGCACUAUUUUUAGAGCCCUAGCCCACCAUCAGGAAUCAGGACAACAGUAGUUGAGCAUCAACUAUUUUAAGACCUACAUUCUUCAUCUCUAAAAUGUCCUUGGUCAUUGUCAUGGUAAUGAUCACACAGUGAUGACUCACAUCCUAUUUCCAAAAUGACAUUAAAUACAGUAUAUGCCACUGAGAUGUUUGUAUGUAGAAUUACCAUUUGUUUUACUUAGAAAAUAUUACAAAUGCUAUCAUUUAUUUCAGACAUAUCUUCAUUAGCAAUUCAAGAUAAUAUGAUAUUUUAAGUUUUAAUAAACUGUCUAUUGAGCUAUUCAAAACUAUUAAUUAUAAUAAGAGCUAAAUUGAAUCAAAGUCAUCUUGAUUAACCAUAUUAUAAUUUGUGUAUGUGUAUAUGACCCCAGGGUUUUAAUUCUGGCUACAUAUAUGCAAAAUUUGUCCUCUGCCACUUAGCUUUACACAAGCCUGAUACUCCAAUCAUAUUCAAAAUGGAUAGCAUUAAUAUUCAUUAUCAAAGGCAAAAGCUGGCAAAAUAAAAGUAAUAGCCACAAGUCUUACUAAUAGGUUAUUUGUGGGGAGAAAACAUUUUCCAUAAAAA
rnacentral:lncRNA from 1 species